rnacentral:rRNA from 1 species
UACGUAGGCAGCAAGCGUUGUUCGGAGUUACUGGGCGUAAAGGGUGUGUAGGCGGUUCUUUAAGGCUGGGGUGAAAUCUCCCGGCUCAACUGGGAGGGUGCGCCGAAUACUGAGGGACUUCGAGUGCGGGAGAGGAAAGUGGAAUUCCUGGUGUAGCGGUGAAAUGCGUAGAUAUCAGGAGGAACACCGGUGGUGUAGACGGCUUUCUGGACCGUAACUGACGCUGAGACACGAAAGCGUGGGUAGCAAACAGG